rnacentral:lncRNA from 10 species
GGAAGGCGAAGGCGGGCUGAGCCCGGCGCCGGGAGGAGUGGUCUAAACUCCACCGCGGCUUUCGCAUCGGAGACGUGUCUUUAGGAAGCAGAGAGGGUUCGAUUCUGGACUCCGCCCAUGACUCACUUCUCUUGUAAAGAAAGAGUUGUCCUUCCUGGUACUCCAGGUACCCUACUGUUUUCUUAUGGACUUUGCCCUUAACGAGUCUCCUUUCCUUCUGUUACUCUCAACCUUUCCUUCUCUACCGGCUCUUUCUUACUGGUAUUUAAACAUGCUUAAGUCUUUCAAUUCUUUAAAAAGAUUUCUCUUCUCCCUAAAUUGCUCUCCAACAACUGCAGCUGUCUCUUACCCCAUGGACAGUCUUUCAUGUCCCACCUCCCAGCCCUCUCCAGUGUCCCCACCGCUCACCUGAAGUGGCUCUGAAUUGUCCACAGACAAGCUUCAUGACUGUAAAUGCAGCGGAUCAUUUUCAGUCCUCAUUUUACAAGCCCUCAUCCCAGUAUUUGACGCGAUUGACCACAGUUGCUUCCAAAUACCCUCUUCCCUCUGGUCUUAUGUCCCAGGUUUCCUCCCUACCUGAGUUUGCUCUUUAACAACCAGCUCCUCCUUGAUCUACCUCUUACACAUUGGAAUCAUGCUGAGCUGAACCCUGGCCCUCUUACUGAGUCUCCCCAUACACUUUCCUAGGUGGUCUUAUGCUCUCCCAGCAGCAUCAAAUACCCUCUGUCAAAGACUCUUCAAUCCAUAACUCAAGCCUAGAUCUUGCUCUGGAAUCCUACAUUCAUAGUUCCCAGCAUACUGCCUUUGGUACACUUUCAUUUGGAUGACUUAGGGCAUUUCAAACUCAACCCGUAUAUCAUAAUUCCUUCAAAACGCUCCUCCCAUAGUCCCUGGUUCAGUAAAGGGUAUCUUAACAUCUACCCAGUUCAUGCCAGAAACCUAGCACACCUCCAACACACAGCAGAAUCACCUACAUCUGUCUGCUCCCUGGAAAAUUGGAUUUGUGACCUCUCUCUGUUCCCAUGACCAUUUUUUCAUUCCCAUUCUAGUCUAAACCACUGUUGCCUCUUGCUUGAAGUCCCACAGUAACCCAUUCAGGUCCUCCAAAACUGCUCUUGCCUCGUUCCAAUACAUUUGCCAUACUGCUGCCAGAGUAAUUUUUUAAAUAUAAAUCUGAUCAUUGACCUGCUUAAAUUCCUCCAGUGGUCUCCCUUUGCUUACCACACAUUGUCUAAGCUCCAUUAUCUGUACUUGUCUUUCUCUCCAGCCUCUCCAUCUGUCCCCCUAGCUGCCUGCACUCCUGCCAUAGUAUUUUAAUUUUUUCCAGGCUCUCCUCUUUUUAUUCCCUACUGUAGGCUCUCACUUCAGGGCAUUUACACAUGCCCUUCCCUUCCCCUGGAAUUUUUUUCUGUCACCCAUUCCUCCUACUUAACUGUAACUUAUCACUUUCUUUUCCAAUUCCUACUUCUCAUUAUUUGUUUAGUGUCCAUGUAAUUGUGCAGGUAAGGACCACGUCUGUCUUGUUCACUACCAGCUUUUCCUCUCCCUAGCAACAGCACAAUGUCUAGAAUAUAGUGGUACUUGUUAGGUAUUUAUCGAAUAAAUAGUGAAUUUCUGAGUGGUCCCGGGCAAAGUUUUCUCAACAUUUGAAUUCAAAUCCUGGCUCUCAGUGAGUUCAGGUUGCCGUAGUAAAGUACCAUAUAGACUGGUGGCUUAUAAACAACAGAAAUGUAUUUCUCAUAGCUCUGGAGGCUGGAUAUCUGAAAUCAGGCUGCCAACAUGGUCAGGUUCUGGUGAAGGCCCUCUUCAGGGUUGUAGAUGGCUGUUUUUUCCCUUUACCUCACAAUGCAGAAAGAGAGCAAGAGCUCUCGGGUUGCUUUUAUAAGGCACUAAUCCCAUUCACAAGGGGUUUACCUCCCAAAGGCCUCAUCUCCUAAUACCAUCACAUUGAGGGUGAAGAUUUCAAAAAUACGAAUUUGCAGGAGACAGGGGUGGGGGUGAAUUCAUUGCACUGGCUCAG